GCCUGUGGCUCACUGGUAGAGUAUUUGACUCUCAUGCUAUAGACCCAGGUUCAAGUCCUGGCCCUGCCA